UGUUCAAUUACAAAUACAUUGAAUCGAUUGCUGUCAGUGUAAACUCAAUAGUUCUGAGAAGAGAUUCUCAAUCAGUUCAGUUGACAUAAACUAGAUACUUGUAGAUCUAACCAUUUCUGAGAUUGUUUUGCUUGUAUCGUUCAAGAAAACCAACAAAACAAAAACAGUUACAUUAGAUAACAAUGUUUCAUCACAUAACCUCCUGAAUCUUAUCCAUUAAUCACAAUUAACCAGCUUCUCAUCAUCAAAUUGAAUUGAUUUUGCAUUCUGUUGCAAUGAUUAAGUCAUUAAACUAUUUAACCUAAAGUCAAACCAUGUUAAUAUGGACAUAUCUUCACCUCUCAAUUCAAGGCAGACAUUCACAAUUCCUCUUGAUUAAUUUGGGAAUUUUUGAUUCUUAGUUCCUUGGAAUCUUACAAGGCCAAUGCCAGGUUCAAUAUUGAAUGGUAAAACAAUAAAUCUCAGAUUUAAAAUCUCUGUUUAUAACCUCAAACUGACUGGUCGUUCAUAUUUCAAUACCUGGGUUUUGUUUCAUCAAAAUUUAACCUCAUUUUCACUUUUUUUCAUUCUAAAAUCGAGAUCUUUAACCUUUUUCAAUUAAAGUUGAACACAAAAACAAACACUCAACAGUCAUCAACCUUAACUCUGGUCAUUGAUCAAGAUGGAAACGCGUUGUAAACAUUGACAAAAAAAAUCCUGAUUCCUGUUUUGAUGUAAAUUCCCUCAGAUUGGCUUGUAAUUUCACUAGUUAUUUCAUUUGUUGAUUUAACUGUGAUCACUUGAUUCAUCACAAUUAUCAAGAAAUGGUUAGUUCAAUGUGCAACCAGUCAAAGUGUCGAGCUGAUAAGUUGACUGAUUCUUUGAUUACAGCAUUACAUUAAGGUAUACAUUACCAGUUUUUGAAAAGUGUAAACUCAUCUUUAUUUACCCUUAAAUGACUUAAUAUGGUUACAUUUUUUAAUUUUUGAUUUAAUUUCAUCGAUUUAUUGCAGUGCUUAUAUCGAUUAUCAAUUUAUAAACAGCAAUAUAAUCUGAAAACAAAGCAUUAAACAGAAACAUCAGGCAACAACUACAACAAAACAAACCAAUCUUUCGACUAAUCAUCAUCAUUGAAUAAUACUGUGAAUUGUAUAACUUGAUGCUCAUGUGGAUUGGGUCUUGAUUUUUCUCGAAUCGAACUGGAUUAGACUUGAAUUGGAGAGUAAUUUAAUUUAUUCAUUCAUUCCCUUUCUUACCAUUAAGAUGAAGAAACCAUUUCCAAGCUUGAUUCCUAUCUAAUGUCUAAUGUAUUUCUCAUGUUUCCUUUCUCGACUUCAAGUUGCUCAUCUAUGAAACAAUCAACUUACCAAUAUAAUUACCAUUCAUAAUUGUUAUGAAAUGGAAUUGUAAAUAACUUAGAUUAAUGAUGAUUAUAUCAUAAUGAUUUAACAUAAAUUCUGUAUUCAAAUUGAGCGAACCCAGAAAGCCGAUUCUCUAGAUAUUCACAUUUCAAGACUUCUUAUUGAAACAAUUUCAUCCUUUUAUUGGCAUUUUCACUUUUUCAUUAAGUAGUAUUUGAUUUUAAAUUUUCACAAUGAUAGCUGAUUUUGAUUGCUUUAUGGUUAACAACAGCAAAUUUGAUUUACCUCGAUUAGACUGGUUAAAACCAGGAAUAAAAAUAUCUUGAUGGAUCAUCUUUAACAGUAAUUAUGUUAUAAGUUACAUCUUAAUGGUAAAGUAAAUAGCAAGCAAUACUAGUCAAUUGUGAUUAUCAUUUGAUGAUAAAUAAUAAACGGUUAACUUUGCUUGUUGUUGUUUUGUUACUUUCAAUUUCACACUCUUUAAUACGUUUAAAAGCCUCGACAAUCUUUGAUAUUACAAAGACAAUUUGAUCAACUUUGGAUGCUUUUAUUAUCAUAUUAAAUUCAGGCUAGUUAAAGCCACAACUAAAAGGUUAAAUAUGGAAAAUGAAAAUACAUUUUCAAUUUGAUUACUAAAUAAACCGAUAACCUAAUUAAAUAUUGAUUACAUUUAUCAGCUUAAUCAAACAAAAAGACGGGGAUGCAUGAAAGAGUCAAUAAUAAAGUAAAUUAUAAUGAAAUGUUGAUUAUUUGUUGAUGAAGGUACGCUUAUUUACACAUUUUUUUGUUAACCUGCCAACCCUUUCUUUAUGUUCAUUUGUUAACUUGAUUAAAAGAUUUUUUCCUUCAUUGAUUUGAUCUUGAAAAAGUUUACUUCUUUGCAGGUUACCACGUAUUAGAUCCGUUAACUUGUCAAACAGCUGUAAAUGAGAGUCGAUGAAAUUUCGCUGUGAGUUAAAAAAAUUUUGACCCAACAUAUUAAUUUUUGUAUGAAGAUUCUGAUCACUUUUAUCAAAACAGUCUGAAAAUGUUCUUAAACGGCUAUAAAGUUGAGCCUCUUCUUCAUCUGCGUCUUCAAUAUGAGUAACGAGAUGUUGUACUUUCCAACCAUUCUUUCUUUGUAAACCUUCAUUGGAUAGUUCACUAAGAGUUGUCUUUUUGUCGGGUUUUUGUUUCACAUCUGAAUAUCUUAGAAAAUGAUAUUGCAAUGAUUUCCAAGGUACAUUAUAUGAGUUAAGGAUGGAUGGACGAGGUUUCUUGUGAAUGGUGAUCACACCUCCAGGUGCAGCGUCUUUAUUGAUAUUAUUAGAGGUGGGGAUGGUACUGUUAAUAUUACUUGUACCACUUGUUGUUGUUGUAUCUUCAUUGGUG